rnacentral:rRNA from 1 species
CCUACGGGUGGCUGCAGUAGGGAAUAUUGCUCAAUGGGGGAAACCCUGACGCAGCAACGCCGCGUGGAGGAUGAAGGUCUUCGGAUUGUAAACCCCUUUUGUUAGAGAAGAUCAGUACGGUAUCUAACCAAUAAUCACUGGCCAACUCCUUCCCAGCAGCCGCGGUAAAACGCAGGGCGCAAGCGUUAAUCGGAACCACCGGGCGGAAAGGGCGCGGAGGCGGGAUAGCAAGUCAGGUGUGAAAUCCUAGGGCUUAAGCCUGGAACGGCCUUUGAAACUGGUAAUCUAGAGUGUGGGAGAGGUAAGUGGAAUUCUUGGUGUAGGGGUGAAAUCCGUAGAGAUCGAGAGGAAUACUCAUUGCGAAGGCGACCUGCUGGAACAUAACUGACGCUGAGGCGCGAAAGCGUGGGGAGCAAACAGGAUUAGAUACCCGAGUAGUC